CCUACGGGUGGCAGCAGUGAGGAAUAUUGGUCAAUGGGCGCGAGCCUGAACCAGCCAAGUAGCGUGAAGGAUGACUGCCCUACGGGUUGUAAACUUCUUUUAUCAAGGAAUAAAGUGAGGCACGUGUGCCUUUUGCGAUGUACUUUAUGAAUAAGGAUCGGCUAACUCCGUGCCAGCAGCCGCGGUAAUACGGAGGAUCCGAACGGUAACCGGAUUUAUUUGGUUUAAAGGGAGCGUAGAUGGGUUGUUAAGUCAGUUGUGAAAGUUUGCGGCUCAACCGUAAAAUUGCAAUUGAUACUGGCAGUCUUGAGUACAGUUGAGGUAGGCGGAAUGCGUGGUGUAGCGGUGAAAUGCUUAGAUAUCACGAAGAACCCCGAUUGCGAAGGCAGCUUACU
rnacentral:rRNA from 1 species